CAGGGCUGUGGUCAGAGGAUGUUUCUGACAGACAGGAGGUUUUAGAUGUGGAGAGGCAGGGCUGUGGUCAGAGGAUGUUUCUGACAGACAGGAGGUUUUAGAUGUGGAGAGGCAGGGCUGUGGUCAGAGGAUGUUUCUGACAGACAGGAGGUUUUAGAUGUGGAGAGGCAGGGCUGUGGUCAGAGGAUGUUUCUGACAGACAGGAGGUUUUAGAUGUGGAGAGGCAGGGCUGUGGUCAGAGGAUGUUUCUGACAGACAGGAGGUUUUAGAUGUGGAGAGGCAGGGCUGUGGUCAGAGGAUGUUUCUGACAGACAGGAGGUUUUAGAUGUGGAGAGGCAGGGCUGUGGUCAGAGGAUGUUUCUGACAGACAGGAGGUUUUAGAUGUGGAGAGGCAGGGCUGUGGUCAGAGGAUGUUUCUGACAGACAGGAGGUUUUAGAUGUGGAGAGGCAGGGCUGUGGUCAGAGGAUGUUUCUGACAGACAGGAGGUUUUAGAUGUGGAGAGGCAGGGCUGUGGUCAGAGGAUGUUUCUGACAGACAGGAGGUUUUAGAUGUGGAGAGGCAGGGCUGUGGUCAGAGGAUGUUUCUGACAGACAGGUUUUAGUUGAAA